rnacentral:rRNA from 1 species
UACAGAGGGUGCGAGCGUUAAUCGGAGUUACUGGGCGUAAAGGGCGCGUAGGUGGAAAAUUAAGUUGGAUGUAAAAUUCCUGGGCUUAACCUGGGGAGGUCAUUCAAUACUGGUUAUCUAGAGUGCUGUAGAGGGUAGUGGAAUUUCCGGUGUAGCGGUGAAAUGCGUAGAUAUCGUGAGGAACACCAGAGGCGAAGGCGGCUACCUGGACAAUUGCUGACGCUCAGGCACGAAAGCGUGGGGAGCAAAAGGG